rnacentral:rRNA from 1 species
CCUACGGGAGGCAGCAGUGGGGAAUUUUCCGCAAUGGGCGAAAGCCUGACGGAGCAACGCCGCGUGAGGGAGGAAGGUCUUUGGAUUGUAAACCUCUUUUCUCAAGGAAGAAGUUCUGACGGUACUUGAGGAAUCAGCCUCGGCUAACUCCGUGCCAGCAGCCGCGGUAAUA